rnacentral:rRNA from 1 species
UACGUAGGGGGCAAGCGUUGUCCGGAAUCAUUGGGCGUAAAGAGCGCGUAGGCGGUCCGAUAAGUCGGUUGUGAAAACUGGGGGCUCAACCCUGGAAUGCCGAUGGAUACUGCGGAGCUAGAGUCCGGAAGAGGCGAGUGGAAUUCCUGGUGUAGCGGUGAAAUGCGUAGAUAUUGGGAGGAACACCAGUGGCGAAGGCGGCUCGCUGGACCGGUUCUGACGCUGAUGCGCGAAAGCGUGGGGAGCAAACGGG